rnacentral:rRNA from 1 species
UACGGAGGGUGCAAGCGUUGUCCGGAUUUAUUGGGUUUAAAGGGAGCGUAGGCGGUCUUAUAAGUCAGUGGUGAAAUCUCGAUGCUUAACAUCGAACGUGCCAUUGAUACUGUAGGACUUGAGUACAGUUGCCGUUGGCGGAAUGUGUCAUGUAGCGGUGAAAUGCAUAGAUAUGACACAGAACACCGAUUGCGAAGGCAGCUGACGAAACUGUAACUGACGCUGAGGCUCGAAAGCGUGGGGAUCAAACAGG